CACGGCUCUCUUAGGAGCGCUUGACUUGGUCUUCUCUGUCUUUCAGGGACUGGGCUCAGGGAGCUGAGUGGGCAGCAGCUUGUGCGAGCCACAGCUAGGCGGGUAGCCCGGGCAUCUUUCCUCAGUGCCUGUGAGCCACGUUACUGUUUAUCUUGCACAACUUACAAGUCUCUCUUAAGCCCGCACACCGCUUGGGUGAGCCCGUCCGUUCGUCUUGACUUGAAUUAUAAGUGAUUACAAAUCUUUAUUACCUGCCCAGAAAUCUCUUCUGAGUUAUUGAGUAGCUAUCCAGCCACCCCUUUGGUUAUCGAUUUGGGUUUUACUCAUUCAGCAUUUACUGCACGUCCUCCGGGUACCAGGCAUCUCGGUCAGUGCUGUAGGUGCAGUGGUGAACGGGGUGGGCAGGGUUCCGGCGUUUAGGGCACUCGCAGUUUAGUGAGAGAAACUAACUGUAAUCAAAGAAACAGAUCGUACUAAUAAAUACAAAAUCUCUAACCGAAAGAAGUGAUCCGAAGGUAUAGGAACUUCAAAAAGAAAACCAGUUGGACUGGACACGAGCUGAACAAUAAAGCUGAGCAAAGUAAGUGGAUGUGAGGGUGGAGAGAAACAUCUGGGAGCAUCCAAUGAGGAGAACCGAAGAUGCAAAGGCUCUGAGCGGGAGACCAUGCUGAAGCACCAAGAGAGGAAGGUGGAAGUUGGGGAGCAGAGGGCCUGGUAAGAGACGAGUCUAGAAAAGGGACAGGGGCCAAAUCACACCUUGGGAGCCAGAUGGGGAAACUGACCACCAAAGAAGGGGAACUAUCCAUCUAAGGCCGCGUACACUGAGUGACAACAGAGUGAGGACCGGAGCUCAGGUCUGGGCUUUGAGCAUGCCCCAGGGAAGGCCGUGAUCUGAUUUAAUCUGCACAUCAACCCCAGAGGCAGGUGCUCGCCAGUCGUCAGUGGAUUCUACAAUGCACGUUAUUUUCUGCUUUUAAUAUCUCUGAAAUAGUUUCAACAGGCAGCAAUGUUUCCCCAGCACUGUGUAACGUAAGGUCCCCGUCUCUCGGUCAGGGCACCACCCCACAGGACAGGAGAGAUUGGCGCAGUGAGGCACGCCCCUGGGGCCAAUAUCCCACAGCUCAUCAGUGCCGGACCUGAGAUGUGAACCCAGGUGUGACAAACUGACCGGCUAGAUUUCUUCCCUCUCCAGAUGCACGCUCCGCCACCUUGUGGCUUGGCCAUGUCUCCCACCAAGAGCUGGAGUCUUUCUCACCCCGCACCUGAAUCCAAACUGCCCUUGGGACUUGCUUUGAGCAACAGAACAUUGGAGUCCUGAGAGUUUAGGCCUCAAGGGGCUUUGCAGCUUCCAGUCCCUCCCUCCUGGCAGUGCUGGACCCCUGUGGUCUCUGAAGGCUGAGAAGCCAAGCAAAACAGAGGAGAAACAUCCCAGAAAGCCCCCCAGACUGGCGCCAUCCGAUAGGAGAGCCACUGGCCAUAUGAGACCAUACACGUUUGAUUAAAAUUAAAAUGUGAAAGCCAGUUCCCCAGUCA